rnacentral:rRNA from 1 species
UACGUAGGGUGCGGAGCGUUGUCCGGAAUUAUUGGGCGUAAAGGGCUCGUAGGCGGUCUGUUGCGUCAGGAGUGAAAACUCGGGGCUUAACCCCGAGCCUCGCUUCUGAUUACGGGCAGGACUAGAGGUAUGCAGGGGGAGAACGGAAUUCCUGGUGUAGCGGUGAAAUGCGCAGAUAUCAGGAGGAACACCGGUGGCGAAGGCGGUUCUCUGGGCAUUACCUGACGCUGAGGAGCGAAAGUGUGGGGAGCGAACAGG